rnacentral:rRNA from 1 species
UACGAAGGGUGCAAGCGUUACUCGGAAUUACUGGGCGUAAAGCGUGCGUAGGCGGUUUGUUAAGUCCGUUGUGAAAGCCCUGGGCUCAACCUGGGAAUUGCAGUGGAUACUGGCGAGCUAGAGUGCGGUAGAGGAUGGUGGAAUUCCCGGUGUAGCGGUGAAAUGCGUAGAGAUCGGGAGGAACACCCGUGGCGAAGGCGGCCAUCUGGACGAGCACUGACGCUGAGGCACGAAAGCGUGGGGAGCAAACAGG